rnacentral:tRNA from 1 species
GGGAAUGUAGCUUAGUGGUAGAGCGCUUGCCUAGCAUGCAUGAAGCCCUGGGUUCAAUUCCUCAGUACCA